GUUUUUGCACAGUGGCAGUGUCAUAGCCAAUGAGGUCUAUCCAAGGCGUGAUUAUUGCUAAUCGAAAACUGAAGGCA
rnacentral:snRNA from 1 species